rnacentral:lncRNA from 1 species
GACCCUCGCCUGGAUCUGUUGUGACGGCUGUGGCCCUAGCUGGUGGGUGCUGAGAGGUGGUUGAGGACCAGGACUGCUUUUUCCUUGUAUCUCUCUCUGUGGGUGUAUACCUCUGUGAUGGAACACGCUCAAGCUCCAUGAAGGUGUGGCCACUGUGACCUGAGCCUGGGGGGGUCUGGCCACCCUUGCUGGUGGCUGUUGGUGUGUGACUGUCCUCUCUUUGCCAGAGCAAGCUGAAGAUGGUUUUCCUCAUUUUUCUUUUUUUCAAUUUUCUUUCUAAAACCAUCACUUCAUUUUUGAAUUUUUUUUUAACUGUGUAAUAGCACUUGGACCCUACGUGGCUGCGUAGAUGCCAAGGUGGCAUGUUAUAGCCUUGUGACAUCCACUUCGCCAUUUCUGUUUAGUUUUUUAAUGGGAGGACUAACUUGAACUAACAAACAUAUAAUGCACCUGGCUUCAUUUUUCUGCUGCAAUUCCGCAAAGUAAAUUCUUGAGCUAAUGCUUUCAAUUGCAGGUUUUUUCCCAUCCAGAGGUUCAAAUAGGAUUUCAUCCAGAUGCAGGAGCUUCCUUCCACCUUUCCCGUCUACCUGGCUAUCUAGGUAGGUUGUCUAUGCAAGCAAAGGGGAGGUCUUGGCUAAACUGUGUAAUGAAAUAAGGAGAUCAUUCAUUAAAUUAAAAAUAGGUCAGAAGGGUCGGAUAAAAUUAGGCCUCAAAGUGUUCUAUUGGUUUCUGUAAACUGGAAAUUCCUUGAAAAGUUAAUCUUUACUGCAUGUUCGAAUGUUUUGCUGUACCCAUUAGUUCCCUUCUGGCAUGCAAAACUGUUGAAGACCAUCCAAUGCAUUGCACUAAAGGGAAGCCUUUGUUUGCAAAGUAUACUUUAUUAUUGAACCAUGAAGAGAUCAUAUAGUUUUUGCUUUGUCCUUAUAUUUGUAAUGAAAGGUUUAUAUAGUUUCCACAGUAUUUUCUUUGCAUGGUUUAGUACUAUUCCUCUUUGAAUACCAAGUUGUCAAUAACUAGCGUUAGGAUACUGUCUUAGAAUGUGGCCUUCUUCUUCCAGGGGAAUACCUGGCUCUCACGGGGGAUAAGCUUAAUGGUGUUGAAAUGGUUGCCUGCCGCUUGGCUACUCAUUAUUCACUAAAUGCGGUUUGUUUACAAUGCACCUUUGACUGCUGCUUCAGUGUUUUUACACUUCAUACCUUGAUAAUCUCUUCUUGAGUUAUGACUAAUGACCUUGACAGAGAUUGGCUUUGAUUGAAGAGCGUCUUGGUAGACUCACUACUGAUGAUCCGUCUGUUAUAGAGACAUCCCUUUCACAAUAUGGUGAUCUUGUUUAUCCCGACAGGAGAAGUAUCAUUCAUAAGUAAUGCUCAACUUUAGUCUACAGCUUCUGGGUUCUUUAUGGCAUGAUUUUUUACUUUUAUCCUCCUCUGUGUAAAUGACUGUAUGUUUUUUGGAUCUAUACAGUAUAAAUUUACGUUAUACGCCUUUCUGGGGAAACGGACUAGACAAGUUUGUGAUGUAGCUAAUAAAUGAUGCACAUUGCGAGUAGAUUGCGUUCUACCACACAUAACUAUAGCUUUCUUGCUUUUUCGUGCAGUUGGCUAUUAGGCAAAUAUAGGCUUUAUAUGCUUAGAAUUUUUGUACUAGCUAUUUUCACACUUUAUGUGGCUGAUUCUGUUUUAUCCAAACCCAGGUAGAACUUUGAAUCAGUCCCUCUAAACGCUUAAGAUCUACAUAAUAAGUUAUUAGUAAUGAGUCGUAACUUAUGACAUGUUGUUAUGAGUCAUAACUUAUGACAUGUUGUUAGUUGUUGUGCAUAUUAGAACUGUGCAAGGGACAAGUAAAUAUUCCACGUAGCAGAGUGAUUGCUGCUUUUAUGGAGAAAGUUUCUUCCUUCUCUGCAAGUUUAUUUUUUAUCACCUUUAUUAGAGAAUGAACUUGCACUUUUUGUUAUGCUUACUACCAGGAAGCCUUUUGUUUUCUAAUCUCUUCAGUAUUAUUUGUUGCAGCUAUUGAAGUGUGUAUCAAAUAAUUUUUUAAAUGGAGUAUUUUUGUCUUGUUCACUGACUUAGGAUUGAAGUGAUCGAUAAAUGCUUUGGCCACGACACAGUUGAGGAAAUUAUUCAUGCAUUGGUAAGUUGGACGAGACACCCUGAAAAGGACUCUUAUAUUUGUUGUUGGAAAGUCCACAAUGCUUGACAUCGUACUGGUUUUUGAGAUGGUAUGACUGAUGUUUUAUUUUGCCAGAUGACAUGAUGGUAGAAUUGGGACUAAUCAACUGAGAAAUGCAAUGAGUCAGCGUAGUUAAUAUCCUAGAUGUUCUAUUAUUGCCAUCUUAUUAAAUUGGUGUUGCUUAGGAAAUUGAAGCAGCUGACUCUUAUGAUGAAUGGUGUGCAAUGACCCUCAAGAAACUAAGGGAAGCUUCUCCAUUGAGCUUAAAAAUCACCUUAAGAUCUGUGAGUUUCCAUUCUUUUGAUUCUCUUUGUUGGACAUAGAUUCCUUCUCUAAAACAUUGACUUGGUUAUAAUUACUACUUUCAGAUUCGUGAAGGUAGAUUCCAGACCCUUGAUCAAUGUUUAACUCGGGAAUACCGAAUAUCCCUCCAUGGAAUCUCUGGAGAAGUUUCCAAAGACUUUUGUGAGGUAUGCAAGUCUUGGACAUCCACUGCAAUUGUUUGGUUGAAUCUUGUGGUUUUUCUUCUCUCUCCUUAUCAUCAGAUCAUGGUACUCUUUGCCAUCUGUGGGGUUGCAAAGAUAGUUUAUGUUCUCAUCAAUAGUGCUCUUUGCUGUCUGUAGGGUGUUCGAGCACGAUUAGUGGAUAAGGACUUCGCUCCAAAGGUAAAAUUGAGUCCCAAUUUUUCCGACCUCAUACAUUUUCUCAACUUCAAUGACUGAAAUCAUCGUGGGCUUAUCAAAUAAUGUGCAGUGGGAUCCUCCAAGUUUGGAAGAAGUAACCAAGGAGAUGGUCGACUUUUAUGUCUCUCCACUUAUAUCUGAGCCUGAGCUAGAACUACCCACUGCCUCACGAGAACCCUCUGUAUGAUAGACGUAUGAAUGCAGAUGAAUUUUUUCAGCAACUUGAGUUUUGUUGGUUAGGUAUUAAACUGUAUGAUUUAAUUUUAUCUUGCAUACCCUCGACAGCUCAAGAUCUGUCAAUCGUGUUUUCCUUGUAUGUUAAAAUCCUUCUCCCAAAUUCCACACAGACAAAGCACCAGCACAAUGAUAUAAGCAGCUCCAUCUUAAUCAGCAGUUCUCUCUCUCUCUCUCUCUCUCUCUCUCUCUCUCUCUCUCUGCGCUUUGUCGGUUAUUUGUUUAUGCACUGCUACAUGUAUCAAUAUUUGAAAUUACAAACCACGCAACCAUUUCGCUGCUUUAAUUAAAGUUGGUGCAGAGAAAAUUUUAUAUAGUUUUCGAUGCAUAAAUCAAAAGGAUGAGGCAACUAUCAGAAUUAUAAAAGGGAAAGUCACGGGAAAAGGAUCCAAAAGUUCGAAAAACUGCAAAUCAUCCAAGCGUAGUGAAAUGCUAAAAUUACUAUCUCAAUAUGACCUUCAGAAAUUCAAAGAUCUACAUUGUUAGUUGAGGGACUCUCUCAAAUUAGUCUUGCAAAUAAGUCUUAAUUUCCUUGUGGAAAAGGUUUCAAACCCGUAAAGAAAUCUGAAAAAGAAACAAAUUCAUUUUCUUUUUUUUUUGUCAACGGUCAAUGGUCAACGGGUCAAUGGUUGCGCGGGUAAACGGUCGCGUAGGUGGGGCCGAUCGGGCCGGUUAGACCGAUCGGACCGGGUCGGACAAACUGACCCGGCACAUGCCUCGCACUCGGGAGCGAUCGGUCGGAUCUUGGGUCGGGUCGCGUCUCAAGUCGGGUCGAUUCGCCGAUCGGGUUGGGUUGCCGGUCGGUCGCCAGCGAUGACGUCAAAGAUGACGUCAUCCCAACGGUUACCGACCGUUGGGUGAUGUCAUCACGCGUCGGUUCGCCGACUGGUGCGUGCCGAUUCGCCGGCCGGCGGCGUCGCACACAUGCCGGUUCGCCGACUGGCGCGUGUGGCGCCCACGCGUAGCGGCUUCUGGCCGUGCGUGUGGGCGCGUCCGGCGUCUCCCGGCGGCGUUCGACCCAUCGACAGACUUGUCUCGACGAGCUCUUUUACUCUAUGCCAUCAGAAAUUGAUUUCGACUUACAGAAACUCGAAAAAAUGGAUGAACAGUGCUCGGGUGUCGGGAUUUUGCGCCCCGAUCCGUGUCGGCCGAUUAUUUUUACAAAAAAUCAAUCAAAAAUCAUUCAUAAAACAUGAAAAGGGGUCGAGAAAACAUGAACUAGGGCUCUGAUACCAAUGUUGGGAUUGUCGGAUUCCCAAAAACCGGAUUCGACACUAAAUCGAACCUCUAAAACGAAUGCGGAAGACGAGUCCGGGAAAUUCACAUGUAUCACCGAUCCUAAAGCACACCACGGAAUCGAGCGUACCUUAUUAGCCACAGAUUAAAUACCGAUGCCGAUAAGAGGAAGAGAAACCGAUCCCUUUCGAUCCAAUGACGUCAAUUGGCCUUAAAGGGAAGACGGCGUUGCCUUUUGCGCACUGUUUUUCUUUUGGAGGGAGAGAGGGAGAGGAAUGUACGUUAAUGCCAAUGGGUGUGUUCCUCCCUCUCUCUUUCUCCUUUUAUAUGUCCCUCCAACAGAAAGGAAUGUACCCCUUUAUCCAUGGGCCAUAAUCUUGUGGGCCGGGCUUUUAGGCCUAUCAUGGGCGGACGGGCCAACUUAGGCCCUUCACAUAAAAUCAUCAUGAGGUAACAAAUAAUUUUCAGGUUCUCUUUUCCAAGCAUGCCAAAGUCAAGAUAUUGGUAGCACAUUGGGCACAUUUCGUAAACAACACUGACGUUUACCUGAAAUCACUCCUCUAUUACAAUGUCCUUUGCUCCUCUUCGAAGUACAACAAUUGUUCUGGCAAAGUCGAGAUCAAGUACUACAUAGUGCUGGGUUUCAACGCGACUGAAGCUGCGAUCAGCAAUGGGACCAGCACUGGGAAUAAGUAUCCUGGUUACACGCGGGUUAACCAUGGGAAGCAUGCUGUUAGCGAUGUGAGAGCCCACAUUGGAACGAGCAACCUCAUAUGGGACUAUUUCUAUACUACUGCCGGUGUCGGCUUCGGGACGUAUGAGCAGGACAUAUUAUUGCAGCUUCAGGAAGUCUUCGAUGCCGAUUGGGAUUCACCAUAUGCUGUUCCUGUGGGAGAGUCCAAGGAACGGCACUCAUUUUCGAGCCGACUAGUACUUGCACACGAGGUACGGACUGGACCAGCUACAGUUAACCGAAAGCCGCACAACGACAAUCAAAUGAAGUCUUCUAACACAAAGGGCACGGCCAAAAGAGUUGCGCCGCUUCUUGAGAUGAGGACAUUGUUUGGACUUAAUUUGACCAGAGUGAUUCGUUUGUAAAUAAGCAAUGCAAUAAAGCAUUUCUUUACACUUUGCAAUCUGAAACUGAAACUAUUGGUAUCUCCUGACGAUUACAAUAUUUAAAAAAAGAAAAAGAAAAAAGGAACCAGCUUCAUUGCUUCUGUAUUCAUUAUCUUAAGGCACAUCAUUUCUUAAAGCUACACCAAAAUCAUCAAACACAACAUGAAAGCGUGUAGAGCUUAUUAAGAACAUAAAGUUGACACUACCUGAACAUGAAAUGCUGGAAGACAAGCACGAAUUUGCAGAAAAAUUGAAGGGGAAAAAAACUAAAGGACUCAUAAUUUGGUCAUGGGACUAAACAAAAAUUCAGGAGAUAAUGAUAUAAAUGAUUUUUCAACUUUGACUCAAUGUGAAGUUUAGUCUAACAUACAAUAUCAUUAUUUAAAUAUUUAAUUUGUUCAAUAUGAUUUCUGAAAUUUUGACAUAUGUUCAAUCUAGUCCAUGAAUCAUAUGACAAUGUUCAAUACCGUUUCUGAACUUGAACUGAUGGAAUGAUGACAUUGAAUAUUUUCAUAUAGUUCGGAGACCAAAUUAAACACAUACCAAUAGGUGAGAGAUCAUAUUAAAUAAAUUAAAAGCAUAGGGAUGUCGUUAUACGUAAGAAUAAAGUUGAUGGAGUAUCCAUGUCGUUUUCCCAAAAUUCGGGGAGGAGUUAUUUUACGAGCAUGAUUUGGUAGGCUUUAUGCUUAUAAGCCCAGAUGACAAAAAGCCCGAUCAUAGACAAUAACCUCAUUGAACGGCCGCUUGACCUUUGCUCUGUUCUUUUGUCUUGCCUCCUCAGUGUGCAGUGUCUAGCGUUCAGCGUUCGCUUCUCUCUUCAAGGGGGGCUGGAGUGACGGGCUCAUGGAUUCCGUGGAAAAGCGCAAAAUAAUUGAUUGGUCUCAAGUUCAUUGUUGGUCCAAUUCUCAGUCCCAAGCUCAACAAGAUUAGUCUUUGGUCCUAAAAAUUGAGGGUCAAUGCUGUGCAGGUCAAUCUUUGGAUUAAGUGCGGGAUCGGCUCAAUUGGGAUCAUGUUCAUUUUUACUGGCUGCUGGCCAGUUUUUGGGUCGCGGUGGGGUCAUGCGACCUCGCCGCCCUUGGAUCUAGGUCGCGAUGGGGUCGCGCGACCCAAAUCUGGAUCGGACUAGAUCAUCGUUGGAUAGGCCUUGUCGCCCGGAUCUUAGACUGGAUCAGACCGGUCCAGAUAAGCCCAGAUGGGCAAAAGCCCAAUCUGAGCUCUCUCGUACCAUUACGGCUCGGACGAUAAGCUUACAGAACGACCGUUUGAUCUUUGCACUGCUCUGUUCUUCUCCUUUUGCCUCCUCAGCGCGCAUCGUUCAGCGUUCCGCCGUUCGCUUCUCAUUUUGAGGGGAAGGCCGGAGCGACGGGUUCAGGCAUUGCUCCGGAGAAAACGCCCUUCGAAAACCCUUUUAUAGAGCGUUCAAACAACAGCAAGAGAAGGAAGGAGAAAGAGAGAGAUGCAUAGCUUGAAGGUUUUAGUGAGAGCCAGUGAGAACCAGGCGUUCGCUUCCCAAGCUCGGCGCUUUCCCUCACCGGAGAAGUUUCUCUGCUCAGCCCCAUUACGCCGGCUACGACGACGUCCAAGACCAGGUCUCUCUCUCUCUCUCUCUCUCUCUCUCUCUCUCUCUCUAUGUGUUUCGGUUUGUUGUUGGAUGCAAGUUGUCCGGGUAGUCAAAAUUUGAUUCGUUCAGAAACUCGAUGGAGUCAAGUCGCGGCGUCUACUUUGCGGAUAGCAAAAGACGGGUUCAUUUACAUUGGGAGCUUAUAUUUCAAUUCGUGUAUGUUUGUGGCGUCAGGUUUUGGUGGAUGGAAGAGCCAACUCAAGAGUGCGAUCCUCAACCGGCCAUCCGCUCUUAAUUCUCUUACUACCUCAAUGGUUUGGUUCUUUCUCUCUCUCCGACUCAAAAUGAAUUCCUCGCCCAACCCCAAUCAGAGCGGAAAGCCGUUUCAUUUUUUGUGUUUCUUGGUGCCCCGUCCGGUUAUUUUUUCUAGAAUAAUUAAAGCUUAAAAUUUUAUGCUGAUAUAUUCUACAGGUGGCCAGGCUGAAGAGGCUCUAUGAAUCAUGGGAAGAGAAUCCAAACAUCGGGUUUGUGUUGAUGAAGGUAUUGCCAUUACAUGCCCUCACACAAGAGCUGAUGGUUUCAAAUAGAUCCUGGUUUUGUUUUGUCUAGAGUCUAUACAGAAGGAGAAACGGAUACACAUUUCAGGCAUUCCUUUUAUUAUUGUCAGGGUUCACAAUCUUUGAAUGUUAUUAACUUUUUUUGUCUGAUCUGAAGGGUCGUGGCAAAGCUUUCUACUCAGGGGGGAAUGUCAUUACCCUUUAUCAUUUGCUCAUUGAAGGUCGGAUGGUGAUGAAUCCUUUCAUUUAUUUGGCUUUCAACAUUUUUUUCUCUGAUAGUUUUUAUGUCCUUUUUCAUUGCUUUAUAUUUAAAUAGUUAUUAGUAGUAGAGGAUUGGUUCAAGGGCAAGAAUAUCAUAAACAUGGCAAUGUUGGGGUGUUAAAUAUCAACAUGCGAAGGUAAUUUUUAUAACUGGAGACGAUACCCAUUGGUGGAUUUGUGACUGUAGAAGAAAGGUCGGAUUAGGAACUAGUGUGUUUGAGUAAAACUAAAUAUUGAAUCAGGUGGGAUAUGAUAGAUAAAUUAAGGUGGAAGAUGUGAAAUAAUGGCCCUCAAGUGCUCUUCAAAGAGCACGCAACUUUGCUAUCAAUUUGCUUUUGUUCCCUUGAUUAUGAUCUUUUGGUUCUUUUACUUUUCUUUCCUAAUUGUUGUUUCUAAUCAAAUAGUCAACAUAUGUGCAGGGAACAUUGAGGAUUGCAAUUUUUUUUUUUUUUGAUACUUUAUAUAAGUUUGUUUACCUGCAAGGGACAUUUUUGAAACCACAUGUAAGUACCUCCUUUUGAAGUUUAUAAACUAUUAGCUCUUUUGAGAUGUAGAAUCAGUCUACCUUGUAAUGGAUAAUUUCAGGGCUUGGAUUUUCCUCUUAAUUUCUCUUGAUUUCUGUAAUGACCUCUUGACACAAUUUAUUAUUGGCCAGACAUCAUAGAGUAAGGUAGUAUUUCUCCUGGCUGGAUGAGAAACAAAACUUUCACUCUAGAUUCCUAUGAUUCUGAUAAAUUAUAUAGUUGAUACUAUAAAAAUCUCAUUUUAUAGUUUUUGAGUUGAUGCUUCAUGUUUUGUGAGUAAGUGGUUGAAGUAUGCUUAAAAGUUAGUUUUCUUGUCAUGGAUAGAAAACUUCAAUCUCACAGUUUGCGGUAUUACUGGGUUUCAGUGAUAUGGAGAUUGUUGAUAUGCAAACUACAAACUAUGCACACAUGCUGAUAUAGGUUACUCUUGCCUUAUGGAUCGCUAAAAUUGGCAAUCUGAAAAAUAAUCAGUUCACUGGACAAUUAAAAAGCAUUUACACAAACUUUUGAAAUCUUGGAAAUAACUUGGAUAAAUGAUUAUAGUAACAUUAAAUUAAAUGUUGCUCUAAACUUGCAAUCAUGCUACAAAAACUAGCGAAAGAAACCUUCUGUGUCACAAAGUGAGUGAUGUGGCUGAAUCCUUGGAGCUCCAUCAUGAUCCAAAAUAUUGAAAUUAUUGAACCUACUAGUCGGAUAUCAUGCUUCUUGACAUGUGAUCUACUCCAUUCCACUUUGGUACCAUUUUCCGUAGCAUAAGAAGUCUAGGUCACUAAGUUGGAUGUACUUCGUUACAGAUGAAUCCUAAGUAAACGAGGUACCUCCGCAUUGGCGGCAUGAUUAGUAAAACUAUCUUUGACUAUUGAUCUACAUGACCACGGUCUUUAUGUGUAAGGCGAUUCAUGGUGAGAUGAGAGGAGAAAGUAAGUCCUUGUGAUUCGUGAAAUGAUUCUUGGAGCAAAAGUAAGUCCUUUUGAUGUUUAGCCCUUGUCUACUUAUUACUUUAUGCUUAAUUAAGAAAGAAGAACAAUUAAAAAUCAUUUACAUUUUACCUCUUUGUUCCUCAAGUCAAAUGGAAAGUGAGUGACAUUUACCGCAAUUGGUUUGUAGUAGUCAUCUUAUAGGCACAGUUUCUUCCAUGUCAAGCAGGAUUCCAUUUCUAAAAUAUAUUGAAUGAUGUACUCCCAGUUGCGUUCGUUAUUUAUUAUUUGGCGUUUAAUAUUCUAUCAAAGUGUUUGUUAACUUGACACCAACUCAUUGACCCAUUUUCACAGUAAAAACUGCAAGCAAUAACCAUUUAGGGUGCGUUUGGAAAUCACUUUUCAAGGAGUUUUGGGGGGCUAAAGGCCUUUAGGCCAAAUAUUUAGUGUUUGGCAAGGGGUUUUUUACUUGCCUUUGCAAAAUGCCUGACUUCUCAAAGCUGAAAGCCCAAGGUAGGUUGGGGGCUGCUUGGGCUUUUUCGGCAUGCUGGCUUGGAGGGUUAGUAAAAAAUUUCUUCCAAAAUUGUCCUCGUUAAUUUUACGUUUUUCCAGCUUUAUCCCGACAACUAUUCAUCAUCGUUGUCUUCCGCUUCUCUUUGCAGAUCUGCGUGACCAACAUCUAUGCACAGUCGCCGGCGGAGUGUAGGUGGUCCGGCGAAAGGCAGGCGGUGCGGCAAAGGACAGGUGGUCCGACUAGGGUUCCAUGACCCUUCGACUAGGGUCGCCGUGCGGAGGACGCCGACAACCCAGAUCCCGCGCAGAUCUGAUCUCGCAAAUCUGGGUCGCGGCGACCAGAACAUGGGCGCCGGCGACCUCCACGGCGCGGUGGGUCGCGCGAUGGCGCAGCAAGGGUCACCGCGACCAGAUCAAGCAGGACCGGCACGGCCAGUCCACCAAAACGCCACCUUCGACGCACUUGCCUCUCUCUCUCAUCAAAACACAGAUUGGGUCGUGAGGUCGCGUGCCACCGCCGCGACCCAGAUCCAGGGGCGACAAGGUCGUGCGACCCCGCCGCGACCUAGAUCCGAGGCGGCGAGGUCCUCCCUCGACCUCGACACCCCGGAUCUAGGUUGCCGGAGGUCGAGGUGGCGUUGCGUGACGCGUGCGACCUCGCCGCCCCGAAUCCGAGGUCGCCAGAGGUCGAGGCGGCACUGCGCGACGCGCGUGACCUCGCCGCCCUAGAUCCGGAGGAUGUCGGAGGUCGUUGGAGGUCGCUAGCUGCUGCCCUUGCCGGUCAAUUUUUUUUAAUUUUUCUUUUGAUAAUUUUUCUUUUACCACAAAACUCUGUAAAUGUAAUUCCCCAAACACCAUUUUGCUCAAAGUAUUUCACAAAGGGCUUUUAAAGUACAAUUUACCAAACACAGUUUGCAUUUUGGAAAACACCUUCUUUAAUUCAAAGGUCUUUACAUUUUCCUAAAGAUUUUACCCAAAAGUCUUCCCAAACGCACCCUUAAGAAGUGCAUGACAAACCAAAAUUUCUGUUUUAGAAAUAAUUUUUCUAUUCCAGACUUGUUUCUGGAAUAAAAAUACGUUUGAUAAAACUAUUUAAUUUUUCUAUUUUUGAAAUAGAUUUUUGUUCCAGAAAUAGGUUAUGAAUAGAAAUCAGAAGUAAAAAAAUUUUACUUUUCUAUUUUUUGAACAGAAUUGAGAAAUAAAAAUUCUUCUCAUUAUUCGUCUUUAUUACGAACCUGUCGUCCAUCCGUCACCGUCGACCAUUGUUUGCCGUUUGCCGCCACCCUCUGCCGGAUGCCGAAUGCUAGCCGCUACCGGUUGCCGUUGGUCGCUAGUCGCCAGUCGCCAGUUGCGGGCCGCCGGACGUCGUUCGUCGUUCGCCGCCAGUCGCCGCUGCGCUGGUAGUUGACCGCCGGCCAUUGUUGCCACUGCCGCAGGUUGCUGCCGACCACAACCAAUCACCGCCGUUCAAAAUGGAGAAAUUUUGUGUCAUUAUCAAACAAAUUUUCAUUUUUGGAGUAUAAAUUUUGUAUUAUUAUCAAACAAGUAUUUUUGCUUAAAAACUCAUCUAGAAAUAUAAAUAGAAAAAUCUAUUUCUCUUCUAGAAAUCAAUUUUUAGCCAGAAUGGUUAUCAUUUGCGCCCUUAUUAGGUGUAAUAUUCAAUUUCUAGGAUUUAAUUAUUAGUCAAUCAAAGUUGUUUGAAUGUCUCAGCACUCGUGUUAGUUUCAAUUUAUGAGUUGGUCACUUUUUAUUCACUUCACUUUUGGGCAGUUGGCUAUCUUGGACGGUGUCACUAUGGCAAGUGGAGCUGGGAUUUCUCUCCCCGGAAUGUUUCGAUUGGCAACUGAUAAAAUUGUAUGUGACUUUUCCUAAAUACUGAUAUAGAUGUUAACUGCUUUGAUACAUGUGCUUGCUGGGGUUGUGUUUAUUCAACUUCCUUUGCCAAUUUAUUUCUUAUCUUAAUGUAAAGUGAGAUUCGAUGCCAUUGGCUGUCAUUAUACGUGAAUUUGCUCCUGAGCGGGAACAUAGGUUUCUGGCAAAACCAGUGAACUAAAUUAUCAUGGGAUUGGUAUUAACAUAGAUUUUUAUAUGGGAUAAUGGUAUGGGAGGUCCUUGAACCUUUUCAAACUUGCAUUGUCAUCCCUCAACUUUGUUUUUUUUUUUGUGCAAUUAAAUCCUUGAACUAUAUGUUUGUUUGUUCAAGUUAGUCCUUCCAUCAAACAGUUAGACGGGAAUGCUGAUAUGCCCAUCCACAUCAUCAUUCUUCUUGAGCAAAUCUCUGCGGUGGAAUAAAAAAAAAAUAAAUAAAUAAAUAAAAAAGUGGGAGGGUGGCCUGCCGGUGGAGGCGGUGUUGCCCAGCAAUAGCNNNNNNNNNNNNNNNNNNNNNNNNNNNNNNNNNNNNNNNNNNNNNNNNNNNNNNNNNNNNNNNNNNNNNNNNNNNNNNNNNNNNNNNNNNNNNNNNNNNNNNNNNNNNNNNNNNNNNNNNNNNNNNNNNNNNNNNNNNNNNNNNNNNNNNNNNNNNNNNNNNNNNNNNNNNNNNNNNNNNNNNNNNNNNNNNNNNNNNNNNNNNNNNNNNNNNNNNNNNNNNNNNNNNNNNNNNNNNNNNNNNNNNNNNNNNNNNNNNNNNNNNNUUCUGUGUUUGGGGGGGGGGUGGGUUGAGGAAUGUAUUCUUGAAUCCUCCAAAUCACAAAGCACUUGUGGUUUACUCAAUCCUUGUGAUCUACUUUUUGUUAUUUAUUGACAACGGUUUGGCAACAGCUGAAUAAUUUGAAUGCAUGAAAUUCUCAUAGUCUGUGUUUCCUGGACCAGUUCAAUUCCCAACAGAACCACUGCAGAUCUGAUUUGAGGUGGUGACCCUCACCUAGAUCUGUUGUGAAGGCUGUGGCCCUUGCUGCUGGGUGCUGAGAGGUGGUCGAGGACCAGGACUGCUUUUUCCUUGUAUCUCUCUCUGUGGGUGUAUACCUCUGUGAUGGAACAUGCCCAAGCUCCAUGAAGGUGUGGCCACUGUGACCUGAGCCUGGGAGGGUCUGGCCACCCUUGCUGGUGGCUGUCGGUGCGUGACUGUCCUCUCUUUGCCAGAGCAAGCUGAAGAUGGUUUUCCUCUUUUUUCUUUUGUCAAUUUUCUUUCUAAAACCAUAACUUCAUUUUUUAAUAUUUUUUAACUGUGUAAUAGCCACGU